GAAAUGCGAUAAGUAAUGUGAAUUGCAGAAUUCAGUGAAUCAUCGAAUCUUUGAACGCACAUUGCGCUCCCUGGUAUUCCGGGGAGCAUGCCUGUUCGAGCGUCAUUACAACCCUCAAGCUCUGCUUGGUAUUGGGCUCUGCUGCGAAUGCGGCAGGCCUUAAAAUCAGUGGCGGUGCCUCUCGGCUCCAAGCGUAGUAAUUCUUCUCGCUUUGGAUCACCGGGUGUGUGCUUGCCAGCAACCCCCAAUUUACAUUUUGUUGACCUCGGAUCAGGUAGGGAUACCCGCUGAACUUAA
rnacentral:misc_RNA from 1 species